UACGUAGGGGGCGAGCGUUGUCCGGAUUCAUUGGGCGUAAAGAGCUCGUAGGCGGUUCGGCAAGUCGGGUGUGAAAACUCCAGGCUCAACCUGGAGACGCCACCCGAUACUGCUGUGACUCGAGUCCGGUAGGGGACCACGGAAUUCCUGGUGUAGCGGUGAAAUGCGCAGAUAUCAGGAGGAACACCGGUGGCGAAGGCGGUGGUCUGGGCCGGAACUGACGCUGAGGCGCGAAAGCUAGGGGAGCGAACAGG
rnacentral:rRNA from 1 species